rnacentral:ncRNA from 1 species
AAGCGCACGCAGGCGGUCUGUCAAGUCGGAUGUGAAAUCCCCGGGCUCAACCUGGGAACUGCAUUCGAAACUGGCAGGCUGGAGUCUUGUAGAGGGGGGUAGAAUUCCAGGUGUAGCGGUGAAAUGCGUAGAGAUCUGGAGGAAUACCGGUGGCGAAGGCGGCCCCCUGGACAAAGACUGACGGCUCAGGUGCGAAAGCGUGGGGAGCAAACAGGAUUAGAUACCCUGGUAGUCCACGCCGUAAACGAUGUCGAUUUGGAGGUUGUGCCCUUGAGGCGUGGCUUCCGGAGCUAACGCGUUAAAUCGACCGCCUGGGGAGUACGGCCGCAAGGUUAAAACUCAAAUGAAUUGACGGGGGCCCGCACAAGCGGUGGAGCAUGUGGUUUAAUUCGAUGCAACGCGAAGAACCUUACCUGGUCUUGACAUCCACAGAACUUUCCAGAGAUGGAUUGGUGCCUUCGGGGAACUGUGAGACAGGUGCUGCAUGGCUGUCGUCAGCUCGUGUUGUGAAAUGUUGGGUUAAGUCCCGCAACGAGCGCAACCCUUAUCCUUUGUUGCCAGCGGUUAGGCCGGGAACUCAAAGGAGACUGCCAGUGAUAAACUGGAGGAAGGUGGGGAUGACGUCAAGUCAUCAUGGCCCUUACGACCAGGGCUACACACGUGCUACAAUGGCGCAUACAAAGAGAAGCGACCUCGCGAGAGCAAGCGGACCUCAUAAAGUGCGUCGUAGUCCGGAUUGGAGUCUGCAACUCGACUCCAUGAAGUCGGAAUCGCUAGUAAUCGUAGAUCAGAAUGCUACGGUGAAUACGUUCCCGGGCCUUGUACACACCGCCCGUCACACCAUGGGAGUGGGUUGCAAAAGAAGUAGGUAGCUUAACCUUCGGGAGGGCGCUUACCACUUUGUGAUUCAUGACUGGGGUGAAGUCGUAACAAGGUAACCGUAGGGGAACCUGCGGUUGGAUCACCUCCUUA